rnacentral:lncRNA from 1 species
CACAAUAUCUUUCAUUUGCUCCAUUGAAUCUUAGGAAACUGUGAAGCCUGGCAGGUAUCUUCUGUGUCACUGAGCCCAGCAUCCAGCUGGGAAGCAGACCAUAUCUUUUCCUGAAAGUUGUGGGAAGAGCUGGUCAGCUAUAGCUAAAGAGUAAACUGUGGCACUAAUAAGGCUCAAAUGGAGUGGUCAAAAGAGACCUGCGAAACAUCCUGUCGGAGCAUGUGGCCAGCACAAGGAGCCUAGGCACUGACUUCUACAGCUGCAGAGUUUUAAUUGACCCCUUCAUUUGAAGGCUUUUCCAACUCGAAGUACAUUUUGUUGUCUAUGAGCUGAGUGCCAUCAGCAGGAUGAUUUGCUGAGUAAGUCCAGAAGACACAGAACUUCACAUUCAAGCUUGUCU